rnacentral:rRNA from 1 species
CCUACGGGGGACUGCAGUCGAGAAUCAUUCACAAUGGGGGAAACCCUGAUGGUGCGACGCCGCGUGGGGGAAUGAAGGUCUUCGGAUUGUAAACCCCUGUCAUGUGGGAGCAAAUUAAAAAGAUAGUACCACAAUAGGAAGAGACGGCCAACUCUGUGCCAGCAGCCGCGGUAAUACAGAGGUCUCAAGCGUUGUUCGGAAUCACUGGGCGUAAAGGGUGCGUAGGCUGUUUCGUAAGUCGUGUGUGAAAGGCGCGGGCUCAACCCGCGGACGGCCCAUGAUACUGCGAGACUAGAGUAAUGGAGGGGGAACCGGAAUUCUCGGUGUAGCAGUGAAAUGCGUAGAUAUCGAGAGGAACACUCGUGGCGAAGGCGGGUUCCUGGACAUUAACUGACGCUGAGGCACGAAGGCCAGGGGAGCGAAAGGGAUUAGAUACCCCAGUAGUC